rnacentral:lncRNA from 1 species
UAAAAGGUGAAGGGAGAGGCCAUAGAGUUUGGAAAAUAGAUGACAAACAAAGUCGAAUAAAAGUAACGAGUACUAUUGUCCCUCGGCACAAUUGGGUGACUAUAGUUGAUGACAUCCUGUCAAACAUUUUAUGAACAUACAAGAGAGGAGCUUAAAGUGUCCAAAUGCACAAUGGCAAUAAGGAGAUGGAGAUAGUGUCACCCUCAUUUGAUGUAUCCACAUGACCACACACUAUGAUGGGGGCUGCUGUAAUGUGGGACCACUCACUGUUUGAUGCCACUCUGGAGGCUGAACCCCAUGUCCUAAUUAAUAUAGAGGCACAGCUUGGUGGAGACAGGCAUGAUGCCUGGGAUCCAAGGGCCAGGUCUCCAGCCAGCUGGCGUGCCACAGAGACAGGGUGCCUACUCACCCAAGUCAGGGGUUCGCAGGGGGCAGGAGGGGUUUCGAGAAGAAACAGAGCAGUUUGAAGAGCUGCAUCAAAGUGUGUGAUGUGGAAAGAGGAACAGAGACAUUACAUUUAAGAAAGAAAGACCCCAGCGGAUGGAUUAACAGAUCCAGGUGAAGACACAUCUGAGAAUUGGAAAAGACAACCUUACAAGGCAUUUCUCAGCGCUACAUUCCGGGGAAGGCAACUGAGAAGUGAAGCAUGCAAGAACUAAAUUGUAAAAUUUAUACCCAGUGAGACGUUCAGAAGUGGGAGGGAAUGAGUAGUGAGCACACUGAGAAAGGAUGGGUUUUUAACUCAGUUUUGAGGUAAAAUGUGUGUGUGUGUAUUUGUGUGUGCCAGAAGCCAACCUUUGUGUCAUCCUCUGACAUUCUCUCUGUCUUGGUUUUUGAAAUAGGGUCUCUCAGUUUUACCUGGAGGUCUCCAAUUUAGUCAGAAAGGCUGGCCAGUGAGGCCCAGGAACCUCACCUCAUCUUAGCCUCUCUGGGACUGGGAUUGCACAAAUAUGUGUGUACCAGCAUGCCCAGCUUUUUACAUAGGUUCUGGAGACAAAACUCAGGUCCUCAGUCUUGGGAGAAAAGCGUUCAGCCUGAGCCAUCUCCACAGCCCCUGGUGCAGAGAGAAGAACAUUGUAAUUGAUUUGGGCUUGCUUUUUUUUUUAGCAUUUUAUCUAUCAAUUAUAAAUUAAAAUUUGUCCUUGAACCCUUAAAUUCAUCUUAUAAAUUCUACUUAACAUUUUAGUCCUGGUAUACUUUAUAUAAAAUAAUUAUCUUCAGGAAAACUUUAAUACAAAAUUGACUGGUGGCUUAAGGGAAUUUGAUAU